AGUGAACGCUGGCGGUAGGCCUAACACAUGCAAGUCGAACGGCAGCACAGUAAGAGCUUGCUCUUACGGGUGGCGAGUGGCGGACGGGUGAGGAAUACAUCGGAAUCUACUUUUUCGUGGGGGAUAACGUAGGGAAACUUAUGCUAAUACCGCAUACGACCUACGGGUGAAAGCAGUGGAUCUUCGGACCUUGCCCGAUUCAAUUAGCCGAUGUCGGAUUACCUAGUUGGCGAGGUAAAGGCCCACCAAGGCGACGAUCCGUAGCUGGCCUGAGAGGAUGAUCAGCCACACUGGAACUGAGACACGGUCCAGACUCCUACGGGAGGCAGCAGUAGGGAAUAUUGGACAAUGGGCGCAAGCCUGAUCCAGCCAUACCGCGUGGGUGAAGAAGGCCUUCGGGUUGUAAAGCCCUUUUGUUGGGAAAGAAAAGCAGCAGGUUAAUACCCCGCUGUUCUGACGGUACCCAAAGAAUAAGCAACGGCUAACUUCGUG
rnacentral:rRNA from 1 species